rnacentral:lncRNA from 1 species
CCCAUUGUCAGGGAGGCGCCAUCGCCCUGGCUUUGGGGCUGGGGCCUCCGGGGAGGUUCCGGUAGGGGCGUUGGAGAGGCCGCUCUUUUUGCAAGGCCCGAGACGGCGGGCCCUGCGCAGGCCGCCCUAUUCCGCGCCCUCAGGGCGUCAGUAUCAGCCUGAGGCUGGAUACCCCCGCUGGGCCCGGAUGCCCCCGCUGGGCCCGGAGCAUCCUCCGGCGCUGCCCUCCCAGAGCCCCGCAGAGGCUGAGGUGGCGCGGGGGCGGCCCCGGCUCCGCGAGAAGCGGCGGCAGCGAGGGCUGGAGGACCCGGGCUGCGGGGCUCCGGGGCGUCUGGCCUGGGCGGGACUGAGCCCAUCCAGGGACUGGGACUCUGGGAUUCUGGUGUAGGUGGAUCCGGGGCAGGCUCAGGACCAAGUCCCUCUCCUUCCACCAAGGAGCGCCCAGAGGCCGGCGGGAGCUCCAGGUUCACCUCCUCCUCCUCCAGGGACGACUUGAGAAGGCAUCCUAAGCCUAUGCAGAAAUGUAGAAACACUUCCAUUAUCUAAACAACCUAUGUGAAGGCCUGAAAGCCAAAGCAAGAUCCUCUUGUUACAAAGCUGUCCAACAAAAAGUUUUCCAAGUAAUACUGGAGGUCCGUCAGUCAGUCUUCCUGGUCUGGAAAUGCCAGAAAUGUCCUCCUUGGUCCUUCUGAGAGUCAAGAUCUUUUCAAAAUCACCUCAGGAGCCACAGAACCACUCCAUCCUACCUGAAAUUGCAGGAUGACUCUUCUUUUGACCAGAGUCUCAAAAAUAUAUUCGUUGAUAGUUUUGAUUCCUGGGAGCCGCCAUUGCUUGCAAAAGAUGUGCCAGAGACUAGACAUUUUCUGUCUCCUCACUUGUCCGGGGAAGACUGAAGUUUUACUGAAACACAGAGAUGGGAAUCUGACCCUCUGAGCAGCCGCAGGAUAUUCUAAGUCUUCCAAGAAGAGUAGAAAUAUUGGAAAUCCCACUUCCAGCUAGAUGUCUGCAUGAACUACUGAAAGCUGCUGAGUGUCUUGCAGCAGGUGAGCUGUGGCCAGAGCUCAAGGAUGAAGGGGACUCCCUCACUCUGUGACUGUGAAGAGGAAGCCUGAGGUGUAGCAGGCCCAGGUCCCAGAAGUAUGGAAAAAAUGAGCAUUUCAUCCCAAAGAUGCAGCCGACUUGAUUGUGGUGGAUAAGCUUUUUGAUGUGCUGCUGGAUUCUGUUUGCUAGUAUUUUAUUAAGAAUUUUUGCAUUAAUGUUCAUCAGGGAUAUUGGCCUGGAUUGAGCAGGCCAUUUCCAAUCCAGCGGAAGACCUUCUAGAAGAGGUGAUGGGUGGGAGAGUGCUGGCAUACUAUGUGAAGCUACUAUUUGGAGUUGGACACGAGUGCAUGUGACCUUGUGCCACAGCGGGAAUGUGAGCUGGAUGACAAAUGGAGAUUUGGACUUGUGAUAAUUGGCCUCUGUGUCAUUGUGUGGAAGACUGACUGGUCCCUUUAUUUCCUGUAGCUUGACUACCACACAAAUGAAUCCACUCAAAUGUUGGCAAGUGGAGCAGAGUCCCAGGACAGUCUGCAAUCUCUACAGGUACAGAAACACCCCCAGUUCAAGGAUCUUCACACCUGGAUUUAGGCCUACUCCUGCAACUACCCCAGGCCAGUUAUCCAGGCAGUGACUUUCAGUGCAGCUACAGUCACCUCUGGAAACCUGCGGAGACUUUAAAAAUUUCCAGAAGGUCAGGAAUUUUUGGAGACCUUUCUCAUGGCUACAUUGCCUGCAAAGGUGAAUCAAUAAGCUUCUGAACUGACUUAGAAAAUGUUGCAGAGACUCUUGUGAACAGAUAGACCCUCUCCUGCCACUCAGAUAGACGUAUCAGGGUCACACACACCUGAUUUAACAACAUGUCAUUAUCUCAGGCACCAAUUUGAUCUUCUACUAUGUUGCAGACAUCUGUUCUGCAAACACCAAACAAAUUGAGACAAUGACCUUCCGCAGGACCCAAACCACCUCUUACUGAAGGAAAGAAGAUCCAGUGAGAUAGUCCACAAAUGGAAUGUAAAUCCAUAAACACUCUUAAGUAACAGAAUAAA